rnacentral:misc_RNA from 1 species
AAAGUCGUAACAAGGUUUCCGUAGGUGAACCUGCGGAAGGAUCAUUCACACAUAAAAAAUCCACUUUGGUAUUUGUUGUAGCAAUAUGACAAUAUAUUAUUGUGGUAAACCCAAAUAUAAAACAAACCCAAAAACGUCAUUACACCCAACGUCAUUACACCCCCGUAUUAUAUAAGGCUUGCUUAAAGAUACCAUAUAUACCCAUGAUAUGGUGCUUGCUUUGUAUGGUACAACCCCGUACCUGAAUAGGCUAUAAAAUUUCCAAAGCCCUUGUGCUAUGGUCGCUGAGUAGGGUAUGGUUAAACCUUUAUUAACUAAUUUUAUAACCUUUAAAACCUUUAUUAACUUUAUAUAAUUAACUUUAAAUACACAACCCUUUGCAAUGGAUAUCUUGGUUCUC